GCAGAACCGGAGCAAGAAGGCAAAGGAGAAGAGGCGGCGAAGGAGGCGGCGACAGAGGAGGCGAAGGAGGAAAAGCCUGCGAAAGAAAAGACUGAGAAGAAGACCGAAGAGGCCAAAGCCUCCAAACGUUCGAAAACAAUGCAAUGCAAAGUCACUCUACUGGACGACACUCAGUUUGAGUGCGAGCUCGACAAACAUGCUAAAGUCCAAGAGCUCCUCACUAAGGUGUGCGACCAUGUCAACCUGCUGGAGAGAGAUUACUUUGGCCUCGUUACCUUGGAAACCCCGGAGAGCAAAACAUGGUUGGAAUCCACCAAAGAGAUCAGGAAACAGGUUUCCGGUGGUUUGUAUGAGUUUGCGUUCGGGGUGAAGUUCUACCCUCCUGAUCCAGCGCAGCUCACGGAAGACCUCACCAGGUACUUUCUGUGCCUCCAGCUGAGGAAGGACAUCAUCCAUGGCGUUCUUCCCUGUUCCUUUGUCACACUGUCCCUGCUGGGCUCCUACACGGCCCAGUCGGAGCUGGGAGAGUAUGACCCGGAGCUCCACGGGACAGAUUAUGUUAAGGAUCUGAGCCUGGCCCCGGGACAGAACAAAGAGCUGGAGGAAAAGGUGAUGGAGCUGCACCGCACGUACAGGUCAAUGAAUCCAGCCCAGGCAGACUUAUUGUUUCUAGAAAAUGCCAAGAAACUUUCCAUGUAUGGAGUCGACCUGCACCAAGCCAAGGAUCUCGAUGGCAUCGACAUUACACUGGGGGUUUGCUCUGGUGGUCUGAUGGUUUACAAGGACAAGCUGAGGAUCAACCGUUUCCCUUGGCCAAAAGUGCUGAAGAUCUCUUACAAACGCAGCAGUUUCUUCAUCAAAAUCAGGCCGUCCGAGCAGGAGCAGUACGAAAGCACAAUUGGCUUUAAGCUGCCCAACUACAAAGCCUCAAAGAAGCUGUGGAAAGUUUGCGUCGAGCACCAUACCUUCUUCAGAGUUCCAACAGUGGAGCCCCCCUCGUCGCGCCGCUUCCUCGUCCUGGGCUCCAAGUUCCGGUACAGCGGCCGCACGCAGGCCCAGACCCGCCAGGCCAGCUCCUUGAUCGACCGCCCGGCGCCUCGCUUCACGCGCUCCGCGAGCAAGAGACUGUCCCGCAACCUAGAAGGAGCUGGAGAUGAGACUCUCCAGCUCCUGCGACAACUGUCGGCAUCGACCAGGUCUGAGGUUGAUGAUUGUUCGAUGAUGCUGUCAUCUGACAAACCCCAGUCUUCUCCUCAAUGGCCAGCCAGAGGUCAGUGUGAGCAGACUCUCAGUCGGUCCUGGGAGGAAGGGCAGUCUGUUCACACGGUCAAAGCAUCAGGGCGGGACAAUGAGACUUGGCAGACUGGCUGGCACACCAUAACCCAAACAGUCAGUCAGCCGUGGCAGAAGAGGGGGGAGGACGAGUGGUCCGCACUGCUCCAUCGCCAUCCUCCUUUUCCCUUUGUUCCACCUCUUGAUUUAGUGAAACCGACAGCCAAGCUCAGCUUGGCAAAAAGUAGCUCCAUGGACCGCCUAUUGCAACCAGCUCUCACACAGCAAGAUGAUUGGUUCCUUUACUUCGACCAAACCUUCAGCCUAUCCUCGCUUGAGCGCGUCGACAGACCACUGUCCCGCCUCACUCAGCUCCAGCUCCGGCUGGAGGAUGAGCAGGCCAUGCAGAAACAAACCAGUGAGGAGUCCUUUGAGAGGCUGCAGGAAAGCCUGAUCUUGGUGGACAAGCUGAGAGAGAUGGAUGAUUUGAAAAGAAGGCUGAGAGAAGUUAAGGAUUUAGAGGACAGGCUUACGGACAUGGACGAGAUGGCAGAGCACCUUCAGGGAGCAAUAGAAGAGGAAUUGGGUAGGGAAGAGGCAGAAAAGUUAAUUCGAGAAGAGAAUGAUGUUGAGCAGGAGGAACAAAUACAAGUUAGAGGUAUAACAGUCUCGAAGAAAUCCUUUAGCACAACUGAGACAAAAGAGGAAGAAGUCGAUGAAUUGGAAGAUCAGAUAAAGCAGGUGUUUUUAAAAGGCUUGUUACCAGAAGAAGAAGGGGCCGAGAUAAAGCGGGAGAUGGAAAUAGAAGUAGCAAGCGAGAGUCUGUCCGAUGACACCUUGAGAGGGAAGCUGCACCAGAUAAAAAAGGAAUGGCAGGAGAAGGUGGAGGAGAAGUUAAAGUCCGGAUUCUCCGACGUCACCAGUACCACUUCUGUAGUAGCGUACCAGGUGGUGGAAGGCAGGACUGGGAAAAGAGUUCCUAUAGUAGAUGAAGGAGCGCUGACGCAGGCGGAAGUGGAGGAUGUGCAGCGUGGUGUUGCUCUAGAGGAGACGGUAGAAGAGGAGGCGACCUGGAUUAAGACGGAAACACCGCAGGCGAUAACUGAGGGAGAGGUGACUGAGAGGCUUCAGGCCGAGGAUCGAUCUCCGGCGGCGGAUAAGGACAUCUGGUUCAUUCUGUUUGAGCUCCCUCCAUACAAAGCUGUUUUCAAACCACCAGUUACUACUGCGGAACGCGCUCAGGUGGAUGAAGGCGAGAAUUUCUCCUCCAAGUCUGAGAUUUCAACAUUUGAGGAGAGAACGGAGACUGUAGAAGAGACAACAGUGAGAGGAGGAGUGUGGCGUGUACCAGAGAUCCCUCCACCACAGACCAUCAUGGAAAGAGACGACGACUGGUUUGUGUGGCUGGAUGUCGUUGCCAGAGAAACCUCAUAUGUACCACCAGUGACGUUGGAGAGAAAGGACCCGACGGGGGCGGAGAAUGCCGCGUCUGUGGCUGGAACGGCAACCGCCGAGGACACUAGAGGAGCAGUAGCUGAAGAGACAAAGAUAAUAGAAAAAGCACCCAGAUAUCUGCAGGAGAUGCCAAAACGUCCACCGCCUGACAGGGACGACGACUGGUUUGUGUUGCUGGAUGUUACGCCCAGAGAAUCGUCAUAUAAACCACCAGUUGCCUUGAAGCGAAGUGACCAGAUGGGUGCAGAGAGCUUUGUCGCUGUCGCUGCAACCGCCACCCAGGAGGACAUUGAAGAAGUGGUGUCUGAGGAGAAAAUGAUGAUGGACGCCGAGCCAAGACGCCCACUAGCGUUGCGGCAGCCAGUGCUCGACAGGGAUGAUGACUGGUUUGUGUUGUUGGAUGCUGUUCCCAGAGAAACGCCAUAUGUGCCACCAGUUGCGGCCGCUGAUCGCGUUGAAGUGUCCCCAGAAGGACUUGUCUCCGUAAUUCCACUAACAGUUGGCCAGGAGGGAGAAGACGGGGUGGGCAUUGAGGCAGCAGACGCAGAACUGGAAGGAGCGCUGAUUGAGGCGCGGGUUGUUGCACUGCCGGUGGGUGUGAGAGAACGAGACGACGUCUGGUUCGUGCUGCUGGAUGUCCCGGAGAGAACACCAACAUAUGUGCCACCAGUUACCGUGGCAGAGUAUGUUGAGGUUGCUCCUGAAGAAAGCAUAUCUACUGCGGCAGAAACGAUGACUGUUGAGUCCAGGAAGGAGGUGAUAGUUGAAGAGCUUGUGGUUUACAAAGAAGAUGGAGGACUGCAGGAAGUAUCCCAGCCAGUCAGGGAGAGAGAUGAUGAUGACUGGUUUCUUCUACUGGAUGUUGUUCCCAGAGAAGCUCCCUGCGUACCUCCAGGUACCCACCGCCUACAAGUUUGUGUGGCAGUACCGAGCCAAAUGUAUCCAAGCGUUGAACCUCAGCCAAUGGAAGCGAUCACCACAGAGCAGAAGUUGCAGCGGGUUGAUGCUGAACAGAUUAGACUGGAGCCUUCUCGGCCAGAGCGAGAGGAUGACUGGUUUGUGCUGUUUGACACCAUUCGUCAGAAGGCUGUAGCGAUACCAUCAGUGGCCCGUGUUGACAUUGUUCCGGAUAUGAGGAAGACUGUUGAGGUUGAGGUGACCUCCGCAGAGUCCGUAACAUGGCAGAAGAUGAUAAUUGGUGGUGACAGCAGGCAUGAUGAGACGCGUUCAACUGAAAUUGGAACAAGCCAAGUGGCUUCGCUGUGGGAGAGACGGGCAGGAGGAGAUGAUUGGUUUGUCCUGUUCGACGUCCUACGCGAAAGGCCUGUUGUCAUAGCGCCAGUUGCUGUGGUUGAGUAUUAUGUGGACGUGGCGGCAGCCGCUGAACCAAAACCAAAAUUCAUCCUGAAAGAUGUGACGCACCCAGCGAAGCCGUUGGAGAUUAAACCGUCACUCCCCAGACUGGUGGAUGGCGACUGGUUUGUGCUGCUAGACGUUGCGCCUAAAGUACCAGCGGCUGUGGACGAACGUCUCCGUGCACACACGGAAGUAAGAACAGCUGAAGAGUUUUCAGCCAAUAAGCAGAGAGCUCGGCAGGCCGUCGCUGUGGUGGAGGAGACGUGGCGCCGGGAGGCGGCGGUGCAGCAGAGACCGCAGGCAGCAGUGAGGGAGGUGGAAGAUGAUUGGUUCAUUCUCAUGAAUGUGGCCACUAAGAAAUCAGUAGUCCCUGAGCGCAUCCAGUUCCUAGCGGAGGUCAGCGUUCCAACCGCUCAGGCCGCAUCAACGAUCGCUCGCCCGGAGAGGAGGGCGCACUUUGAGAAACGCAUCUUGGAGGAAAGACGUCCGCUCGCACAAACGCAUGUCAAUGAUGAUUGGUUUGUUCUACUAGACGUUGCCCCCAAAGAGUCAGUGGUGAGCACGCAGCGGGGCGCCCGUCCGGUCAGCGCUCCGGUCUUCUCCCAGGCCGCUCUAGCCGAGGCAGGGAUCCCCAUGGCCCCCCUCGAUCAGCCCCAGACCUCCACUCCCAUCAAGACCAGCCGCAAAGAGGAAAGAAAGCUGGAGGUCACUGUCGAAGCUGUGGAGCCCUCAAAGACGGAGGCUGUGGCUGAGGUCAAGAAAAGAGCUAAGAGAAUUGAGGGUGACUCAAUUUAUAUCAGACAUAGCCUUUUAAUGUUGGAGGAGUUCGAUAAGCCUCAGGAGGACCUGCUCAGGCAUCACGCCAGCAUCAGCGAGCUCAAGAGGAACUUCAUGGAAGCCGCCACGGAGACCAGGCCCAGCGAGUGGGACAAGCGCCUCUCCACGCACUCCCCUUUCCGCACCCUGGGUAUCAACGGUCAGCCUUUGCCCAGUGCAGACGGGAGCACGUGCAUUAGUCUCCCCGGCAAAGGCUCAGAGACAAAGACUGCGCGCGAGGAGACGGGCAGCAAUCGGGGCUUUUCAGGCACACCGAGUCCCUCUGUGAGCGCCAGGAGGGAGCGCGACAGUGUACAUCUCCAGGUUGGGGAGGAGUCAUGGGAUCGGGGAGAGGUUGUAGCUUUUGAGACCUCCUUGGCGCCAAUCGCAGAGGCGGAGAUGGCCUUCGACCCCUCCUCCGCGGCUUUAGAGGGGACCCAGGAGGGACAAGGGCCGCGUCCCGAGGUGUCGCUGCGGCCCGAGAAGAUCGUUGGAUCUUCCCCGGCUUCCUGUUUCGGGAGCGAUGCCCCCGAGGCGGUUCGCUGCUUCCAGCCCCCUCUGGUGCAGACCCACACAGUCACCAUCACAGCCGUCUCCGCCUCCUCACCCAGUGGCAUCUCCACCACAGACGUGCCUAUCGUCCCGACCAAGACCAUCAUCUAUGAGUCCUCAAAGGUGGAAGUUGACGGGACAGCUGAGGACAAGGACGGCGCAACUAUGUCCAGCUCCAAGACCGUUACCUCAGACACCACCAGCGGCACCACGGUCACCACCACUCACAUCUCAAAGGUAGUGAAGAGCGGAUCCUCAGAGACCCGCGUGGAGAAGAGAAUUGUCAUAACCGCAGACUCUGACGUCGACCAAGACAAGGAGAAAGACGGCGGAGCGUCGUCAUUGUAACCGAAUCUCCACCUGCGACACACAUUGACCAGCUUUGUCUACGCACACAGAAAAGAAACAUCCUCAUAAUCUGCACCUGAUAUUUUAGAUAAUUUAGUGGAUACAUCUUGGUAGAUCCUCUUUGUUUUUAGUUUUUUUUCAGUUGUAGGUAGAGGGCUUCACAGUGCUCGAGUCUCAUCGAGGUGUUAAAAGCUUAGUGAACAGAACAACAGCAUUUUCACUUGAGUGAUUCAGUAAUGUUUGCUUUUAUUUCCCUAGUGGUUUUUACAUUGGUAUUUUAUAAGAUUGCACUGUUUUCAUUGUAGUCUAGACGCCAUCAUCAACGUGUGUUCCCUUGGUGCUGCUAGGGAAGUGUUAAGACUACAUUUAAGGGAAUCAUUUUGGUUGUUUACAUGUCUAUUUAAUUCAGGAAAGUCAUUCCUUACUGGAAUUACAUACAUGGCUUGAACAAGUGGAGUACAGAGAAAUUUUAAAAAGUUAGUUCCCUCCUCAGGUACAAAACUACCAAGAACUAGCAGCCUACACAUUGUAAAGUUUAAAUUAAAAAUGGAUCUAUUUUAUAGGAGUAAUGCUUUUGUAGUAUUUGUACAAAUGAGGUUUUUAAGUUAUUCAGCCAUCGGCUCAUUAAAUUGAAGGUUUCCACUGUGCUGUUUACUGAAUUUUGAGGUCUCUACUUAAAUCCUGAGACAGAAUCAUUCCGAUUUGUUUCCUCUUGUAGUCCACCAAGUUGAUCAAACGUGUAGCAAUUGCCACAUUACAACGAGGUGCUUCCCUCAGUCCUGUUCGAUAGAAUUCAUAAUCGCUUUGAAAAAGAACUUUCAUGUGAAACUCGCCAGUCUUUUCUCGUUCUUAGUAAUGAAGGUUAUUCCAUGCGAGAAAUGUUCUACCACGGUGUGAACUACUCCCUUUAGAGAACAACACAAACGGGCUCUGACCAGAGGAGCAGUGAGAGGCCCCCGGUGCACAACUCUGCAAGACGACGACUUCAUUAGUGUCUCUAGUUUGAGAAAUAAGACGCCUCAACUGGCGGCUCCUUUAAAUGGUGCCCGCAAAACGCCAGUGUCAACGUCUACGGUGAGGAGCAGACUCCGGGAUCAGGUGUUUGGAUCACACAGAAGAACAUUUGUGAGACGCAGAACAGGUGGAAAGAUGCUGGAAGGAUCCCUGAGGUCAUCUGCCGAGCACGGUGGAGGUGAUGGUCUGGGGGCUGCUUCGGUGCUGGUAAAGGGACAUUUGUACAUUUCGAACAUCUGACCUGCCGUCAGUAAUCGCACUGAAUUCGUGGUGAAAACUCUGCAAGGCUCCGCAUCUCCAUUUCCGAACAACGCUAAAACGAUGCACACAUGCAAAUGUUUCCUUCUGGGUGUCUGCGAACUUGGAUGCUCUCGGGAGUCAAAUCGGUUGCAAAUUCGAAUCCCGUUUAAAAAAUAAGCCCGAGGACCAACCUCACAGAAGAACUCGUUCCCUCGGAGUCCACAGAACCAGGAUAUCCAGGAGACCUCUUCGGAGCUGCUCAUCCUCCUGACGGGCCAAACCACAUCGGAACCAAAUGGAUUUGUUACGUAACGUUACUCGAUGUAUGGUUACAGCUAAAAACCUGAACAAUAUCUACCAAACACAGAUUCAGUACCUUCCAGCUCGUUUGCACCAGACUGGAUAUGUUACCUUACGGACGUUGAACAGAAAUGAUAUAUGAUUUUAUAAUUUAUCUGAGUUUUGCGUCUCAGACCUGCUGGUAACGUUAGCUCGCAUGCUAGUGCUUGUUAGCUCUAACACGUUAUAGUAACAUACAGUGUGUCAUUUGCUAUGUAACAGCAACAUGUCCUCAACAUCAGAGUUACUGUCGCCUGCAUGUGUACAACUGUUUACAGAAAGCAUUUUACUCACCCUUAUUUUAUGUAAGUUAUCACAUCAAACUGCAACCGUAGCUAGUUUUUCCUCGCUUAGCCUUCUGGAUAACUAAUCCGUUUCCGGUCAGUCAAAGCUUUCAAAAUAAAAGUUCAAAGUUUCUUUAUGGGUUAUCUUCUUAUACAAUAAUGCAGAGAAAGAAAAUGGUACAAAAUGUGGCAGAAUUUGGUACGAACAUGAAAAAACAGUUUGCUUUACUUUAACUUUAAUGAAUUUCCAACAAAAUAAUUACACCAACAGGAAAUAUAUCAUGUCAAUAUUGCCCUUAACACAGUGCUACUCCUAUACUUUAUACAGUACAGUAUUUUGUCUGAUAUGAUAAUGGGUACAAACUUACAAUCCAGAUAUUAUAAGAACCGUUGUAUUUAAUUAAGUAGCUAAAGCCACAUCAUAUGAGUUUUGGUAGCCUUCUAUUUACAAAACCUUUACAAUUUCUUAACUUCAUACAUAAUGGACAUUAUAUACUAUGCUUGCUUUUUCUUCUAUUGACAUUGAUAUUUUAAUUAUCUGGGUUGUAAUAAAA